rnacentral:rRNA from 1 species
UACGGGGGGGGCAAGCGUUGUUCGGAAUUACUGGGCGUAAAGGGUUUGUAGGUGGCUUGCUAAGUCAGACGUGAAAUCCCUCAGCUUAACUGGGGAACUGCGUCUGAGACUGGCGAGCUUGAGUGCAGGAGAGGAACGCGGAAUUCCAGGUGUAGCGGUGAAAUGCGUAGAUAUCUGGAGGAACACCGGUGGCGAAGGCGGCUCUCUGGGACGGUACUGACGCUGAGACGCGAAAGCGUGGGGAGCGAACAGG